rnacentral:sRNA from 1 species
GAUCAUUAGUGAAUAAACUUGUGUGGGUUGUUGCUGGUCUCCUCGGAGGCAUGUGCACGCCUGCCAUUGUUUCAUUCCCCCUUCCACCUGUGCACUUUCUGUAGACCAGGUUGUCACCAUGCAGGUGUGCUCUGCACUCCUGUGAUUGAGGAUCUGCCUCUGGCUGUCCUUGGAUGGCCUGGUCUAUGUCUUAUCAACUCAAUGUAUGAUAUUGAAUGUCAGUCUGGGCUCUUUACAAGGCCCAUAAAUCCUAUACAACUUUCAACAACGGAUCUCUUGGCUCUCGCAUCGAUGAAGAACGCAGCGAAAUGCGAUAAGUAAUGUGAAUUGCAGAAUUCAGUGAAUCAUCGAAUCUUUGAACGCACCUUGCGCUCCUUGGUAUUCCGAGGAGCAUGCCUGUUUGAGUGUCAUUAAAUCCUCAACCCCAUCUUCCUAGUGAACGAAUGGUGUUGGAUGUGGAAGCUGCUGGCCUUGUCAGCUCUUCUCAAAUGAAUUAGCAGGGCCCACGUACAAGCCUCUCCAGCUUGGUAUUGAUAGAUGUCUUACCAGGUUGUAUUGCUGCAUGURCAGGGUGCUCAGCUCCUAGCUGUCUCGUCCCGAGACAAUUACUUGACGAUUUGACCUCAAAUCAGGUAGGACUACCCGCUGAACUUAAGCAUAUCAAUAAGCGGAGGAAAAGAAACUAACAAGGAUUCCCCUAGUAACUGCGAGUGAAGCGGGAAAAGCUCAAAUUUAAAAUCUGGCGGU